UACAGAGGUCUCAAGCGUUGUUCGGAUUCAUUGGGCGUAAAGGGUGCGUAGGCGGCCCUGCAAGUCGGGUGUGAAAUCCCACGGCUCAACCGUGGAAGUGCACUCGAAACUGCAGGGCUAGAGUCCUGGAGAGGAAGGUGGAAUGCUUGGUGUAGAGGUGAAAUUCGUAGAUAUCAAGCGGAACACCGGUGGCGAAGGCGGCCUUCUGGACAGUGACUGACGCUGAGACGCGAAAGCGUGGGGAGCAAACAGG
rnacentral:rRNA from 1 species